rnacentral:tRNA from 1 species
GUUACUAGGGUGUGUUUGGCAUAUUAGGUUUUCGUUCUAAUGGUGUAGAUUUUUCUACUUGUAAUU